rnacentral:rRNA from 1 species
CACGUAGGGGGCGAGCGUUGUCCGGAUUUAUUGGGCGUAAAGAGCUCGUAGGCGGCUCAGUAAGUCAGGUGUGAAAACUCCAGGCUCAACCUGGAGACGCCACCUGAUACUGCUGUGGCUAGAGUCCGGUAGGGGAGCAUGGAAUUCCUGGUGUAGCGGUGAAAUGCGCAGAUAUCAGGAGGAACACCGAUGGCGAAGGCAGGUCUCUGGGCCACUACUGACGCUGAGAAGCGAAAGCAUGGGGAGCGAACAGG